CUUCUGGAUUCAAGAUGGCCGCUAGACCGAAGAGUCCUCCCGCGCAGGCAAGACUUACUCGUUUAGAGUCAUGUUAUCUUCGAGUAUCUAGAGAGACAUUUUAACCCACACCCUAGAGAGGCGUUGUAAUCCCUGCGUAUCUUUUAACGCUACUUGGCCCUCACCUGCGAAACUACUGUUCUUUAAUAAUCCUCAUUUUCUGUGCCCCGGAAGUGCCUUCCUCUCUUCGCGUCUGUUUUCCGGAAGUGGUUCUUCUCCCUCUCCACCCUUGCGCCCGCUUGGGCGGUCCAGCUGCCCCUAGUGCCGACCCCAGGGGCUAUUUGGCGGCUGAACAUUCCGCAUUUUUUCAAGGCGUGCCUUUGGUUUUUUUAAGAAGUGCUAUCUAAAGGAGAGGCUGGACUAUGGCUCUGGGGAACUUUCAUAUCCUCAGUUGACCUUAGGCUGUGUGACCUUGAGCAGGUAGCAUAACCUGAGUUUCCCGCGUGACCUAUGUGCAGAUUGAGAUGAUAAAAUGAGAGAGCUAAACCGGAAAGCUCUUCCAACAUAGCCGGCCGUGAGCAGGUGGCUGUUUUGUCCUCUGGCACCACUGGCUCAGACUUAAGCAGCCUCGCUGACCGCCAAGAUUGCAUGCCAUGCCCACCAAGAUUUAAAGGACUCUGAUAAUUCUUUCUCUCCCCAAACAGUGUUUUCCGUAUCUAAUCUUAAUAAGCAAGCCUGGAGGAAUCUCUGACUUGUGAGUGAAGGCUCUCCAGGUGCCCUGGUUUAAGGGCAGAGAUUUAUUUUCUCUGAGGCUACAAAGGAGCAUCUGGGAGAUGCGAGAAUUCUUCUACCUUUGGCAAAACAGGGAGGAGGGUUGGAGCUCUCCAAGUUGCCUCUGGUUUGAGCUUUUUCUUUCUCUUUUGGUGUGUCGUCUCUGGCCAGCAACACCUGUGAGUCCUUGAUUUGGCGAUUAGGGAAGAUGUUUUUAGUUCACAUAACUAUUCUUUAGAGAAAAUUGAUCCUGAAAACACCUUAUUGCCUGAUCAUAGAAUGACUGCAUUACUCAGAAUUCUUUACCUCCACUGGAAUUUAGUGAAGGGAAUGCCCAACGUACAUUAGGAAAAUACAGGCACACUCCAGUCCUUAAACCUUCCACAAUCCUCUAACUCUUUAAGGUCGAGUGUGAUCCUCCCCAGAACUGCAUCUUCCAGGAAGUUCAUGAGAAAGAAAGGAUCCCAGGUCCCAUCCCUGAUCUCCUGAAUCGGCAUCUGCAUUUUAACAGAAUCCUGAAGCAGUGGUCUAACUCCUUUGGUUGUGGUAUGGUUUGAAUGUAUACCUCCAAAAUUCACAUAUUGAAAUACUAACCCCCAAGGUAUUAGGAGGUGGGGCCUUUGGGAGUUAAGUCAUGAGGGUGUAGCCCUCAUGAAUGGGAUUAGUACUCUUAGAAAAGGGACCCCAGAGAGGUCUCUUUCCACCAUGUAAGGAUAAAAGUACAAGGAGAAGAUGGUAGUCUGCAAACUGGAAAAGGGCCCUCCUCAGAACCUGACCAUCUUGGCACCUUGAUCUCAGACUUCCAUCUUCCAGAACUGUGGGAAAUAAAUUUCUUUUAUAAACACUCAGUCAAUGCUACUUUAUUAUAGCAGCCUGAAUGGAUUAAGACAGGUGGUCUGGUGUAAAGUGAUGUGUUGGCAUCAGAAGUUUAAGGAGAGACUGGAUUCACAGAACCAGAAUCUGGGAUGCUGUUUACAGAGCAAGUAUUUCCUGCAUUUGGACACUGUCGGCAGGUCGAUUCAGGAGACAGACGAAAACUUUAUCACCGGGCAGUCUGGAUGAACACCACAACUUUGAGAUCUUUCACUUAAAGGAAAGAUAAGGGCAUCCACUAUUUCUACACCUGGCUGGCAGAGUGAGAACUCACCAAGGCACUUACAAAUUCAUAAACUAUUACUACUGAAGACAAGUUAAGAGAUUGUGUCCUCCAAACUCAUCAUUUUUCAGCAUUAUUAUUUUAGAAGAGAGGUCUAGAUCAACCACUUUAAAAUGACACCAACAGAAGGGCAGUGAAGAAGGCAUUCUCGGAGGCUGCACAUUUCUGGAAGACAGCAUGACAAUAUGCCUCAAGUGCAAACAGUUUAUCCAUCUAUACAUAAUGAAACUAAAGAAGAUAAAGCUGUUUGUUCCUUGGGACAGUCUAAGAAUAAAUAAAAGACAGAAAAUUUUUCAAAA